CGGGCGGGGUGCCUAUACAUGCAAGUCGAACGCUUCUUUCCUCCCGAGUGCUUGCACUCAAUUGGAAAGAGGAGUGGCGGACGGGUGAGUAACACGUGGGUAACCUACCCAUCAGAGGGGGAUAACACUUGGAAACAGGUGCUAAUACCGCAUAACAGUUUAUGCCGCAUGGCAUAAGAGUGAAAGGCGCUUUCGGGUGUCGCUGAUGGAUGGACCCGCGGUGCAUUAGCUAGUUGGUGAGGUAACGGCUCACCAAGGGCACGAUGCAUAGCCGACCUGAGAGGGUGAUCGGCCAGACUGGGACUGAGACACGGCCCAGACUCCUACGGGAGGCAGCAGUAGGGAAUCUUCGGCAAUGGACGAAAGUCUGACCGAGCAACGCCGCGUGAGUGAAGAAGGUUUUCGGAUCGUAACACUCAG
rnacentral:rRNA from 1 species